UGAGGAAUAUUGGUCAAUGGGGGCAACCCUGAACCAGCCAAGUCGCGUGAAGGAUGAAGGUCUUAUGGAUUGUAAACUUCUUUUACACGGGAAUAAAGCGGGGGACGUGUCCCUCUUUGCAUGUACCGUGUGAAUAAGGAUCGGCUAACUCCGUGCCAGCAGCCGCGGUAAUACGGAGGAUCCGAGCGUUAUCCGGAUUUAUUGGGUUUAAAGGGUGCGCAGGCGGGAUGUUAAGUCGGCGGUGAAAUUUUGCAGCUCAACUGUAAAAGUGCCUUCGAUACUGGCCUUCUUGAGUGUGGAUGAAGUAGGCGGAAUUUGUGGUGUAGCGGUGAAAUGCUUAGAUAACACGAGGAACUCCGAUUGCGCAGGCAGCUUACUAAGCCACAACUGACGCUCAUGCACGAAGGCGUGGGGAUCAAACA
rnacentral:rRNA from 1 species